AAUUCAUGACGUGUUGGAUGAAGUUGUUCAUCUGGUGGAGCGUCUUGAGGCCGAUCGGCAGGAAGCACAAGAAGCUCUUACCAAAGAGAAGAGUAGGAAAAGGUUUCUGGAGGACAAACUUCACAACAUUUCCCUGAAGACUCAGAGAGAGCACAGCUUUGCAAUCUACAAAGGUCAGGGGUUAUUUUGUCUUUCUCCAUCUUUUUCAUUGACGAAAACAAUUGCUUCAUCACUUUCAGAGCAAGAGGUCUGCGUUAGAGACAUUAGUCAACUGAAGCUUCACCUGAAAGCGGAGAGACAGAAAGUGGACAAAGUCCAGCAGAGCAUGUGGGAGAUUGAGCGAUUAAACCAGCUCCUGAACACUGACGUCAACUUUAACCACACACAGAUUCCCAUCAUCCGAGAAAACAUGGACUCUAAACGAGCAACCAUCAAGGUGAUCCAAAGGCUGCUGAUGGAGGCUGAAGCAGUUUGGAGUAAAAAACAAAGUGAUCUUGCGCUGAUUGAAAAAGAUUUCAAAAAGAUGGAUUUUGAUUUGCAUCAAGAAAAGAGCAGCUUUGAAAAGGCACUGUUGGCAAAGAAGAAUCAGCUGGAAAAGAAAGUAGGAGACUUAAAUGAGCUCAGGCAGCUUGAAGAAGAUAUCUGUGUUGAAAGAAGUGCUGCUCAAAGUAGAAUUUCCCUACUGAUGGAAAAGCGAGCUGUGAUCACUCUUUACAUCCCUGAAAUGAUGCAGAAGGAGAAAACUACAGAGGAGGAGGUAACU
ensembl:lncRNA